ACUCCUACGGGAGGCAGCAGUGGGAAUAUUGCACAAUGGACGAAAGUCUGAUGCAGCAACGCCGCGUGGAGGAUGACACAUUUCGGUGCGUAAACUCCUUUUAUAUAGGAAAGAUGAUGACGGUACUAUAUGAAUAAGCNCCGGGCUAAACUCCGUGCCAGCAGCCGCGGUAAUACGGAGGGUGCAAGCGUUACUCGGAAUCACUGGGCGUAAAGAGCGUGUAGGCGGAUAGAUAAGUCAGGAGUGAAAUCCUAUGGCUCAACCAUAGAACUGCUCUUGAAACUGUCAAUCUAGAAUGUGGGAGAGGUAGAUGGAAUUUCUGGUGUAGGGGUAAAGUCCGUAGAGAUCAGAAGGAAUACCGAUUGCGAAGGCGAUCUACUGGAACAUAAUUGACGCUGAGACGCGAAAGCGUGGGAGCAAACAGGAUUAGAUACCCUGGUAGACUGUCAU
rnacentral:rRNA from 1 species